CGGCAACAAAGGCCAAUGGAGAGGGGCGGGGGCACCGGGGACCUGAUGUUAGCGGCCCCUGGCGGUCACCCGUCAGCAUGCAGCCCAGCGGGAGGGCUUCGGUACUAGCGCAGCGGAACCGCGCAGUGGCGCCGCGUGCUGGGCGCUGAGACCACAGAUAUGAAAGAGACCCUGCCUACUCUGGAAGAUGUCACACUCAGCUUAAGUGCGACUACAGACCUCUAUGUGUGGGACCUGGGAAGCACCUGUCUCCACUUUCUCAUCUACUGCUCAUGCCUGAACUCAGUCAACAUGCUUCUGUCCUCACCAUGUCACUUAAGACUUGUCUCGAAAUUCAAAGGAUAAUUUUCAAGUCUUAUUGCUCUGGCACUAUGAUUCUCCUCCCCUUUUGAGCCUUCUACUUGUCUUCAGCAUUUUCCGAGAUCUGCUGCUUAAGUCCUUUUCAGUUUUCUUCAAGGGCCCCCUUUUGCUUUUGCCCUGUCAACAGGGUUCACCAUGAUUUCAAACCCAGCUCUCUUCUAAUUCAACUCUCUGCUUUCCCCUCGAAGGUUUCAUCCAUUCUUAUGGCUCAACUAUCUUCCCAAAUCUCUAUUUCCAGAUAAGUCUCAGACUCAUAUGUGUAAGUGUCUGCUGGACAGCUCCACCUGGAUAGCCUACCAGCACUUUCUAUUCAGAGUCCAAAACCAAACUCUCUAUCUUCACCCCACAAGUGUGCUUGUCCUAUGCCUUCUAUCUCUGCAAAUGGCAUCUUCAUCCCAGAUAUGAAGUUUCUCUCUCUCCCUUGCUUCUUCCCCCCAUUCAGCUGUUCACCAAGUCCUGAUACGUUUACCUCCUUCACUACUCACACGAUCCCCCUGCCAUUCCGAUGACUCCUUGUGGUAGUGCAGACCCCUAUUAUACCUUGCCCAAAGUAUACCACUUCCUUGCUAGCCUCACGGUUUCUGGGGAGCUUCCUCUUAUCUGGUAUGCUGUAGUUGAAAGGUGAUAAUAGACCCAGCUCAAACAUCACUUUCCCUUAUAUUCAUCCAUAUGUAUUUCUUGAUGCCUACUUUACACUAGAUGCUGUGCAGAAGGCUAGGAACUUAAGAGAAAAACCAUACCUAGUCCCUGACCAUAGAGAGAUUAAUUUCUGACCCUCAUCACAGUCUGCCUUGCUUCUCUCUAGCAAAGGUUCACAAGCAGUAGGCAUCAGACUAACCUGGAGAGCUUGUUAAAACACUGAUUGCAGCCCUGGCCAGGUAGACCCGUUGGUUAAAAUGUCAUCCCAAUACACCAGGGUUGAGGGUUCUGUCACUGGUCGGUGCAUAGGGCCUGUACAGGAUUCAAUUGGUGAAUGCACAGAUGGGGGAAUGGAACAACAAAUCAAUUUUUUUCUUUCUUUCUUUCUCUCUCUUUCUCAAACAAGAAAACCACUGAUUGUUGAGCCCCACCUCCAGAAGUUUGUGAUUCAGUAGGUCUUGAGUGGGACCCAAGAAUGUACAUUUCUUUUUUU